CCUACGGGUGGCAGCAGUGAGGAAUAUUGGUCAAUGGACGGAAGUCUGAACCAGCCAUGCCGCGUGCAGGAAGACGGCUCUAUGAGUUGUAAACUGCUUUUGUACAAGGGUAAACCUGAAUACGUGUAUUCAGCUGAAAGUACUGUACGAAUAAGGAUCGGCUAACUCCGUUUCAGCAGCCGCGGGAAUACGGAGGAUCCAAGCGUUAUCCGGGUUUAUUGGGUUUAAAGGGUGCGUAGGCGGAGUGGUAAUGUAGGGGUGAAAUGGCCGAGCUUAACUCGGGAACUGCCUGUAAUACUGUUGAUUUAGAGAGCAGGUGCGGUAGGAGGAAUGUAUGGUGUAGCGGUGAAAUGCUUAGAGAUCAUACAGAACACCGAUUGCGAAGGCAGCUUACCAAUCUAUAUCUGACGUUGAGGCACGAAAGCGUGGGGAGCAAACAGGAUUAGAUACCCGGGUAGUC
rnacentral:rRNA from 1 species